GUAGGGGCUGAGCACGAACAGUCAGGUUUUGUCUGCACUGUGAGCUGCUAUGACUCUUGGACUCACUUCCCCUCAUACAGGAGGAAGUCUCUCUGACCAAGGCUGAGAACAGGGCUGCUCUAACCCAAACCUGAUUAUAUAGAGGAUAAUUUGGCUGUACACCCAUGUGGUUCUCCCAGGGGUCCGGGAGUUGAUCAUGCCCUCUUGUUAUUUGCCCGUGUUGAGGCAGAGAUUCACAGUAGGUAGCAGAUGACUGAGAGGUCACUCUCCUCACAGCCAGGAAGGAAAAAGAAAGAGGUCACAAUUCACUUUGAAAGCAUGUCCCAAUGACCUCCCAUUAGACCCCACCCCUUAAAGAUUCCCUACCCGGCCCUACUCCCAUCCCCAUACCCCACCAAAGACCAACCUCAAGUCCUAGAGUGGGUCACAUGAAGGUGUCCAGCUCACACCAAGGACAGACAUGACCUAAAGGAAGGGAAAUCAAGUGUAACAGUUCCUGGAAUUUCCUCUCCCCUCUGAGGUCUCCAUCUCUUGGUACUCUUGACCCCUGAGUCACUUCGCAAGAGGAGGGCACCUGCUUCUAUGAGCCUUGCUGCUUCAGGGAAGGAACAGGGCAGUGAAUCACUCCACCCAACAGAAGAGGCCCCUCGAGCCUGGCACUCACAGAUGGGCUUCUUUCUGCCUUUCCCCCAUCCCUUUCCUCAACACAAAGGACUUACAGGACUGUCUUCACUAAUCCUUCACUAAUCUUGCCUUACUCCAAGCCUGGGAUCCCAGGUUGGCUGGGGCGGCAGUAACAGAGCAAGAAAUGAUGUCAUUGACUUUCCCUCUGCAGCAGAGAAUUUUAUCACACAACCUUCUAGCUAAGGAAGCUUGAUGAGGAAGGGCAAGCCCGACCCACCCUGCCAGGGAGGAAGUCCUCUCUUUCGGCUCCAAGUGCAAGCGUCUAUACAAACUCAGUUCUUCUCCCAACGUGGCACCUGGCUGCAAGCCAGUCAUGGCUACUAGCGUCCAGGGAACUAGUCGCCUCUGUACAGGGGCUCCUUAAAUCGGCCAGGCUGACUAGGGAGCCUAGGGUCAGCGAACGGCUGUUUCAAAAGUAUAAGGUGGAGAAGCAAUUGUAUCCAUGCCUGACCUCUGAAUACGCACACUUAUGCAUGUGUACACAUAGCUGUUUAUGGCAUUCCUGGAGAUAAGACAGCACUUCACUUGUCUGUAGUGAGUGCCAAUGGCCUUUCAUAGGGGAAGUGAGACGUCACGUUGACUCACUUCCUUCUUUGCACGGCUCUUCACCCCUAUUCUGAGUUCAUGUUGUGCACUCUCAACUGUCCUUCAUGCUCCAUGCAGUGUACUGUCCCCUGGGAUGUCUCCCCACCAUCCAGUGGCCCACGUCUAAUCAGAGACGUUGCUCCCGGGCUGAGUCAUCCACAGAACAGCGCGCAAACGAGGACAGGGCUGAGCUGUCAGGAGAAGCUAAAGACAAAUUCGUAAGCGUAACUGCCAUGUUCCGUUCUGGCCUGUGCUUAGAAGAUUGUCUUCCCCCUUCAGCUUUCCAGAGAGCUGAUUGGUGCCCUGGGGAGCAGGGAACAUGGGGCUGACCUACCGGAAGACGGAAGAUUAGCAGGGGCAGGGUCCUGGAUUACACAGAUAUUGCCCGGGCUCAAAGCACACCUACUCCGCGGGGCUCCUGGCAGUAAAGGAAACAUCGGUGAAGAGAUGUCAAAACAAGAUUUGAGAGUCUCGAAGGAUUUUCAGUGUUUGAACAGAACAGGGAACUGGGGAUGUAGCUCAGUUGGUCGUGUGCUUGCGCGGCAUGCACAAGUCCCGGGUUCGAUCCUUAGCAUGGCAUACACCAGGCCUGGUGACACACUCUUGCUAUCCCAGCAGGCUGACACAGAAGGAUGAGAAAUUUACGACGACCCUCAGCUACAUGACACAUCCAAACUAGCCUGCCUUACGCAUAAGAGACAGAGUCUCAAAAUAAACGAGGAAGCAAACAAGAGAGUUGGGACACACAUGCACACACACGUGAGCACACGCAUGUGCACACCCAUGUACACACACGUGACAUACCACACACACCACAUACACACACACGCACACCGCUGUCACCACCUCCACCACCACCAAGGGGAAACUGAGGCAGAGAAAUCCCCAGGCUGUUUAAUGGCGUGUCAAAUUUGGAACCACAGGAAUUACAGGAGUUCUAUGUAUCCCUUUGAGAAUGACUUCUGUCGAUGUCAUUACUCGAUGGGGACCUGUGGGAAGGCAGUGUUUGCUUUAUCUCAAUUCGUCAUGUAAGCCUGUGGGUGACAUUGGCCCUCGUCUAUAAAAAAUACAAGCGUUGGGCCUUAGGCUCACAGGAGCUCCCUUGGAGUGUGUUUGACCACAUCAGUUGCAUGGGCACCCUCUCAGUCCUGGGGAUGCAGGUCUUACUUGCAGGGAGCUUACGGUCUCUGCACAGGUGAGGCGGCAGGAAGAAGAGAGGGAGGUGGGGAGAAAGGGGUGGCUAUCAGGCCUGUGACAGGAUAAGGUUGUCUACAAGGUUCGCAGCCAAGUUACAAAAGAAAACUCUCAUAAUGUUUUAAGUAAGUGUUCACUUUUGUGGCGGCCACAGCAGCCCACAGGGUAACAGGUUGGACACAACUAGGCCGCUAUACGUUGAGAGUCAGAAAAAAUGGCAGGCAUACCAUGCCAGAGCAGGCACGUGCUACAAAAGGAGCAGCUUGGCAAAGGAGAAGAGAGAGGCCUCCAGAGCCUCAGCCCGUAGCGCCUCCAACAUGCUCUCAGCAAGCAGUCUAUAAGGGGUGUGCCAUAGAGGUCAUGGAGGACUCAGGGGGCAGAGAGGCCACUGGAGGAUCUAAUGAAGAUAUAGGAUGUGACUCCUUGGUGAAUCAAGAGAAAGCUGGGAAAGAGGAGGCUCCAGUAGCACCCUGAGCAUGGCCUCAGGAGGGUCUGGCCAGUUAGCUACAGUGCAUCCCUAAGCCAUCUCUCUGAGCUUCCUCCUCUCCUCAGUGAGAGGGACUCCGUUGUAGGUGAGUGGAGAGGAAUAGGCUUGGAUGAGUUCACUCCCCGGCAGGAACGUAAAUAAAGGCCCAACAUGUGACCGCCGCAGAGCUGACUAAUGUUGACAGAGCAUCGGUCAACCUGCCUGUCAUGUCCUUUCACCCUCCCGGGACAAGCCCAGGAAGCAGGCACUGUUAUGAUCCCAUUUCCCGGGUGAGGUAAGCAGUUUCGUCGGGGCAUCAACGUUAGUCAUUAAUGUGCUCUCCAGUGACAUCGUGGGAGGUUAAGGUGACCCAGCUACUCAGCAGGAAUGUGGGCAGAGACCGCAGCAGCAGCUGCUGGUGGCUGAGGAGGAAAAUAAAGGGACGCCGGGCCAGACAGGACUACACGCCUGCCACAGACCGACAGGGCUGCGUUUUAUGGAGGAAUCGGUUCACGAGUGCUAAGCUUUGUUUGGAAUCCGGAUGGAUGCCUGGGCGUUUAAACGUCCCACAACUGAGACCCGGACUCAUGCGCUCUGCCACCGUGAUUUUGCCUGUUCUAGGAGUUCCUAUAUGUGGGCUCACGGGCUAUCCCAGAGUCUUGCUGGCAUUGCCGAGCGGUCUCUGGGGUCAAGCAGAGCUUAUUUAGUCAAACCACAGACAUCCAAACUCUUGCUACGGUUCCCUGCCAACAAAGCAGUUGUGGACGGACAGUUGAGUCCGUGUGUUGGUGGACGCGUCUUUAGUUUUCCUGGAUAUCACCUAGGGAUGAGCUUCGUGGGUCACAUGCUCUGUCUCACUGUAUAAAACAUUGUUUUUUUGUUUGUUUUGUUUUGACAAAAAAAUAAAAUAAAAUAGCUGAA